CUUUCAUAUGUCAAGCCAGUUGUAAUUUGAGGGUGCACUAUAUAUGCAAACCUUAAAUGUUAUUUUUUUCCAAGGACCUAUGUUUGGGUCGUGUUUUUUUNNNNNNNNNNNNNNNNNNNNNNNNNNNNNNNNNNNNNNNNNNNNNUUUUUUUUUUUUUUUUUUUUUUUUUUUGUAUAUUGAAGAUCAAACUCAGGACCACAUGCUUGCCAGGCAGGGACUGUGCCACUGAGAUAAAUCCCAGGCUCUAAGUGCUCAUUUCUUUCUUUCUUUUUGAACAGGGGUCAUUGCACUUGCGAGGCAGGCGGAGGAACCACUGAGCUAAAUCCCCCGCCCCAAGUGCUCACUUUUUAGUCAAUCACUGUGCCAGAAAGAUGCAGCAUGAGCCGCUUGGAUCACCCUUCACUGAACAACGUAGUGUGCAUAGUUCGACAGACUCAUGAAACAGAAUGAAGUUGGGAAGAAACAAGCGAAAUAACAAAACCCAGGGCCUCUGUAGUCUCUUCUCAGUGUUCACAUGUGACUGAAGGUGGUGCCUGAACUUUGAAGAAAAGCAGCUUGAAAAUUACUAAUGCAGAGAAGGUGGAAAGCAGCAAAUUACCAGAGAUGAACUUGGUUAUUUUCACCAAAGGUGAUGAAGUUAUAAGAUCACUUCCACAACUCAGGAACUUUUUGGAAGUAUUCUGGAGUGGUGAUUGCAAAAGGUUUCGAACAUCAGAAACGACAACACCCUCUUCCACCAAAAGGCGCAAACGGUAUUCUUUCCUAACCUUCUGUGCAAGGUCCUGUGACCUCAGAAAGCAUAGAAUCUUAUUACCGAUUCUACUUCCUGUAGGCUGAGCUGCUACUUGAAAUGUCCUUUUUGCUUUAGGCCAUGGGUAAUGAAUGACCUUGGAAAAAUUAAUCCAGACUGCAUCUGCAGAAAAGAACUCUUCUCUAAAUAAGGUGCACGUGGCAAGGUUUGGGAGUCCACAUGCAUACCUGGCUGCUGCUGCACAUGGCCAGCUCUCUCUAGGCCCUGCUCAGCACCCCUCUGAUUUGGAAGUAGGGCUGUGCCAUCCCUGCUGAGAACAGGGCACUGAGAAGUGGUUGCUACAGGGAACGAUCAUCACAAGUGCCAACCACCACUGCAAUUUUAUUGUUCUCCUUGUCAUUCCCUUAUGGCUAUUCUCCAAUAACUCUCCAGCUGAAAGCCACACAUGGUAUUUAUGUAAUAAAACCAGCCCUUCCUAACGUCCAAGUGCUUUGUGGCCCCUUUAGGGAAUACACUUGACUUUGGCAAUUCGGCAUUUGUAGUCAGGGAGGACAGGAAAGAAAGGACAAAUAAAAUUAUGGUGAUGCAAAGUGCUACUUGAAAAGCAUGUAACAAAGGGGAUGUAUGUGAUAAGAAGAGAAAAAUAUCCUCAGGAAAGACUUUAGGGAGGAAGAAUUUGAGAAAGUCCUUAACAAAGGUCACAGUUUAUGCACCAGAGGUCACCUUCUCUAAAGGCAGUGGUGGGAACUGGCAGGAAAGGUUUGGAAACGGAGAGAACAGCAACCCUGGAAUGUGGGCAUGUGGGGGAUCAGCGAAACUACUGGUGGAUCCAAGAUUGUGGGAGGUGGAAGGGAGGCCCCUUUGUGGAGAGGACAUUACCAUAUCUGAUCCAUGGACA
ensembl:lincRNA